rnacentral:rRNA from 1 species
CGAAGUUGGAUUCGCUAGUAAUCGCGCAUCAGCCAUGGCGCGGUGAAUACGUUCCCGGGCCUUGUACACACCGCCCGUCAAGCCAUGGGAGUCAGCAACGCCCGAAGUCAGUGACCUAACCGAAAGGGAGGAGCUGCCGAAGGCGGGGCCGGUAACUGGGGUGAAGUCGUAACAAGGUAUC